rnacentral:rRNA from 1 species
GAUGAACGCUGGCGGCGUGCUUAACACAUGCAAGUCGAGCGAAGCACUUAUGAUGAUUCUUCGGAUGAAUCAUUUGUGACUGAGCGGCGGACGGGUGAGUAACGCGUGAGUAACCUGCCUCAUACAGGGGAAUAACAGUUAGAAAUGACUGCUAAUGCCGCAUAAGCGCACAGGGCCGCAUGGCCCGGUGUGAAAAACUCCGGUGGUAUGAGAUGGACUCGCGUCUGAUUAGCUAGUUGGCAGGGUAACGGCCUACCAAGGCGACGAUCAGUAGCCGGCCUGAGAGGGUGAACGGCCACAUUGGGACUGAGACACGGCCCAAACUCCUACGGGAGGCAGCAGUGGGGAAUAUUGCACAAUGGGGGAAACCCUGAUGCAGCGACGCCGCGUGAGUGAAGAAGUAUUUCGGUAUGUAAAGCUCUAUCAGCAGGGAAGAAAAUGACG